rnacentral:rRNA from 1 species
UACGUAGGGGGCAAGCGUUGUCCGGAAUUAUUGGGCGUAAAGAGCGCGUAGGCGGUCCGAUAAGUCGGCUGUGAAAGUCAGGGGCUCAACCCUUGAAAGCCGGCCGAUACUGUCGGACUAGAGUCCGGAAGAGGCAAGUGGAAUUCCCGGUGUAGCGGUGAAAUGCGUAGAUAUCAAGUGGAACACCAGUGGCGAAGGCGGCCUGCUGGGCAGUUGCUGACACUGAGGCGCGACAGCGUGGGGAGCAAACAGG